AGUGAACGCUGGCGGUAGGCCUAACACAUGCAAGUCGAACGGCAGCACAGUAAGAGCUUGCUCUUACGGGUGGCGAGUGGCGGACGGGUGAGGAAUACAUCGGAAUCUACUUUUUCGUGGGGGAGAACGUAGGGAAACUUACGCUAAUACCGCAUACGACCUACGGGUGAAAGCAGGGGAUCUUCGGACCUUGCGCGAUUGAAUGAGCCGAUGUCGGAUUAGCUAGUUGGCGGGGUAAAGGCCCACCAAGGCGACGCUCCGUAGCUGGUCUGAGAGGAUGAUCAGUCACACUGGAACUGAGACACGGGCCAGACUACGACGGGAGGCAGCAGUGGGGAAUAUUGGACAAUGGGCGAAAGCCUGAUCCAGCCAUGCCGCGGGUGUGAAGAAGGUCUUCGGAUUGUAAAGCACUUUAAGUUGGGAGGAAGGGCAGGAAGUUAAUACCGUGCUGUUUUGACGUUACCAACAGAAUAAGCACCGGCUAACUUCGUG
rnacentral:rRNA from 1 species